CUUGUGCCACGGUGGCCCAAAUGUCAGUCAACCAGACAUGUCUUCUGAGAGUUCCCAGGAAUGUGGUGAAGAGCAACUGUAAGCGAUAAGAUUGUUCCCAGCGCUAAUAAAACUUUGGAGUUAAUUAACUGAGAAGAAGGUAAAAUGAAAUGUUGUUAUGAGGGCUAAAGUUGUUUUUCUACCUUUUUGAAAAUUAUUUUUUAUCUGUUGAAAUUAUAAUAUAAUUAUCAUCUCUCCUUCUUUUUGCUCCCCUCUCAGAAAUUAACAGCCUUGAGUUGCAGGUGGAAGGUGCAGAAGCCAAAUUAAAAACAGUCUUUUCAGGCUGAGCUCAGGAGCCUGAAUUUCCAUGCUGUAAGUGGCUGGGAUCCACUGGAGGAUUUUAAUUGUGUAAGUUGACAAGAUCAGAUUUGCUAUUCAGAAAGCACACCCUGGCACAGAUCGGUGGGUGGAAUAGAAAGUGGUUGCCCUGGAGACAGGCAGACCCAUUAGGAAGCUCUGACAAAGAUCCAGGAGAGAGAAAAUGAGGAUAGUGGUUGGAGGAAUGAGCAGAUUCAAAGACAUUUUAGAGGUGGAACGGAUGGUCGGGAGACGCUCAUUCAGUGUAAAUGCUGAAGGAAAGGAAGAACCAAGGAGCGCUGUGGUUUCCAGCUUGGAUUUCUAUAUGGAUAGUGAAUAAUUAAUGAAGAUGUGGCGGGCGGGCAUAAUGGGGACUUAAGAGGGAGGUAGUUGUAGAUGGACGUGAUCAAUAUACAUUUGUUUAAAUGUGUAUAACUUUCAAAGAGUAAGAGAAUUAUUAUUUUAAUAGAUCAAGGUAUAAAAUACAAAAAAAAGUCAAAUGGGGGGGGGGGUUUGCUAAUGAAUUCAUAUGUGACCUGUUGAAUUUGAUGUAUCUUUUGGACUUGUAGGUGAAGAAGUCACAUGUGGUGAAUAUAUUAUCAUCAGAAUGCGGAGCAAUGAAAUGUAAACAGAUAGGAAUCGUCACUAAAGCUCCAACUGCAGCCUCCGGGUGCCAUAGCUUUUGCACCAUCCAUUUGCACCAUCUCUGCAGUAAGUCCUAGCUCAAGCCUUACUCCAAAGUACAAAUUAGCAUAGCAGCUCAGUCAACAAUGCCUCCGAGCUUCUGGAAAGAAAGAUGCUCAGUCACCAUAGACCCAGAAUUAAUGAAAAGUCACAGAAAUAAUAGCUCCAUUCUCUACUUGCUUCUGAACCUCAAAUCAGUGGUUGGCAACAAGUUGCUCUCAAUCACUGCCACGAGUCUGGUGAUGCGCUAAGCUCGGGGCAGGAUCUCAAGGGCUUUGAGGAUGUCUGCAUCAUCUGUAUUGACCUGCUCCCCAGAUUAAUACCGAAGCACUGCAAUUUCUUGAGGAUUAUCCACCUAGGAGGAAAUGAUACGCUGGCCCAUCCAUAGUAGUCAAGGUUUCUUGGAAGAGAAGAAUGAGAUUGGAUCUGAGAAAAUGUGGCUGGUAAUGAACUCUACGAAGGGAUUUUUAUACUCUCUCUUUGGCAGUCCAUCCUGUGAAAUAAUAAUGAGGUUGGAGGAUGGCUGCUAACCAUCCCUUGCUUUUCCGUGCCAGGGAACCACCAUCUCAGAUGGUAGAAACCACUCAGAAGGAUCAACUGCUGCAGACGGGAAGAGGAGCAACCUCGUGAAUAAUUUCGUGACAGGAUAUUGCAGGAGGGACUUUGUCCAAAUGUGUGCAGGGUAGUUGGCUACAGCAACAAGGAUGACGAACACAGAUGAAUUGAUCAGGAUGUAACCAUUCAAAGUUGAGAGGAUUAGAGGACUUCUCCGAGGCGGCUCCAAUGGAUGCCAGCAGAGUUAAAGUGUCCAAUGGAGAGAAGAGAAGGCUUGGGAAAUCCAGAGUCCAUUCAUUCAUCGCCCUCCUCCUAGAACAACAAAAGCGAGCCCCAGUACUCAUCAGCAUGGACUCUGUGUGUAGUCAUCUCCCUUAGUUUCAGAGGUUCCUGCCUACAGCAAAACUUUAGAGGCUUAGAGUUUAACGGUCAUAGCUUAUUCACCUCCAACUGUGUCCUAGUUCAAGAGAAACACUUCACAUAUCUGUAGGGAGAAGAUAAUGAACCAAGGAUACAAGUUAAGCCUUAGCUAAGACCUGUUACUCAGGAAAAAGAGCUAAAACAAGCUGCUUAGAUCAGCACCAAUGUUAGGUAGAGAGAAAAAGAAACGCUGCAUAGAAAUCUUAAGGUUCACAUGUGCUCCAGGCUGGGUCAACAACUUCUAAUUUCCUUUGCCAACCAACCAUGUCUUUGACAGAAAUGAUCCUUCUACAUAGACCACAGAGGGAUCCAAUGGAGGUUUCUCUUCCUGAAUUUGGGGAUUCAGAAUCUGGACAAAUUCCUUUCCAUCAAAGUCCAGUACAAAAGUAGUACCAUGGCAGUCCCUGCAGGGACUUGCAUCACUUUCCCUAGAGAUAUCAAGAGAAUUUUUAGUGAUAAGAAUAUGGCACAAAAUGAGAAAUCCCAUUACUCUUAAGAGAAUCUCUUCCUUCUCAAAGGCACCUGAUUAAUACAUAUAGUACUAUCAGUAAGGCUGAGCAAAAGGAUACUGAUGUUCUGAGUGAUCUUAAAUCAUGUAAUAAUAACUUUAUUCGUAGUAUAGAACGGAAUAUUCCCUAUUAGUAAUCAGUUCCUUUGCCAGAUCCUCAUAGUAUCUUAGUCACUGUUUUAUUGUUAUGAAGAGAAACUUUGACCACAGCACCUCUUAGAAAAAAGGAAGCAUUUAAUCGGGACUUCCUUAUGGUUUCACAGUUUUACAUAAUUGUCAACAUGGCAGAGAACAUGGGGGCACGCAAACAGACAUGGUGCUGGAGAAGUAGCGGAGAAUAUACAGCAACAUAUAGAUACAAAAUAUAGAUACAUAUAGAUACAGAAUAUAGAUACAUAUAGCUACAUAUAGAUCUGCAGGCAGCAGGAAGAGACUGGGACAAGGCCAUACCUUCUAAGGCUUCUCAAGGAGUGUCACUUCCUGAUGACCAAGCAUUCAAGUGUAUGAGCUUAUGGGAGCCAUUCUUAUUCAAGCCACCACACAUAGCAAAGCUGAUAAUGUCAUUUUCUGAAUUAACCAGGCCAAGGCACACUUCUUAGCAACAUGGUUACCUGGUAACCAGAGAUUUUUCUCAUCCCAUGAGAGAUUUCAUUCAAGAACUGAUCUUCUAACAGUUUUGUCUCUCUUAAGAAUGCUACAGACAGGGUGGGGUGAGGCACAGUGCUGAAGCCCCUCAAGUUUCCCAGAGGGAUGAGUCCAUGAAAGACGAAAAUCAUGUGGUCACACUGAGCAUAGACUUCACAAGCAUCAUGCUAGGAUUCCAUUUUCUUUCUCAACACAAUGAUAAAUUCUUCUUCCAAUAAGCAGAAAAUCAUCCAAUGGGAAAAAAAAAUAAAACCAACUAACUUGCAGUCCUUUGGAACAGUUUCAUAGCUUACAGGAUGGCUUCAUAACCCUGGGGACACUCGUUUUGACAUGAAAACUUCCUUCAGAACAGGAAUUCUGAUCCAACAUGUGCUCAGACAUCAUUUCAGUCACUUGCAAAUGAACAAGAAAGCUCAUGUAAAUGAGGAGGCUCAACUCCCAGGCCUGGUGAGUGGGUAAGACAUUCCUCUGCUGGGUUUUGAAGGCUGUCUGAAACCAUCGGCUGACAUCCUUCUCUGUGUGCAUGUAUGCACUAUCUACGGGAAAUUCAGCUCCAACCGGUUGUCUCUACAGCUCCCUUAAUCUUCUCCUCCCUCCUCCUGGCAUUGGCAUGUGUCCCAGGACUGCAGCGAGGAGUGCUUACCAACAAAGGUGCUGGCAUCUGCAUUUGUUUCACAGCCACAAACCUAAUGGUUCCAUGAUUUUGGCGAGCAAAACUGUCAAAAUGCCUGAGCACAAGAGAUCACAAGAUGAGCCAAGGCAUAGUGUGCAUGCCUUCCUUCCCAGCACUCGGAAGGCAGAGGCAAGGGGAUCUCUGUGGGUUCAAGGCCAGCCUGAAUCACAAGGUGUACUGGGGAUUCUUUUUUAUUGUUUUCCUUUUGCUAUCUGGAAUAGUUUGAGAUUGUAUUUGAUCAGUGCAUUAAACAAC
rnacentral:lncRNA from 1 species